rnacentral:rRNA from 1 species
GACGAACGCUGGCGGCGUGCCUAAUACAUGCAAGUAGAACGCUGAAGAGAGGAGCUUGCCCUUCUUGGAUGAGUUGCGAACGGGUGAGUAACGCGUAGGUAACCUGCCUGGUAGCGGGGGAUAACUAUUGGAAACGAUAGCUAAUACCGCAUAAAAUGGAUUAUCGCAUGAUAAUCCAUUGAAAGGUGCAAAUGCAUCACUACCAGAUGGACCUGCGUUGUAUUAGCUAGUUGGUGGGGUAACGGCUCACCAAGGCGACGAUACAUAGCCGACCUGAGAGGGUGAUCGGCCACACUGGGACUGAGACACGGCCCAGACUCCUACGGGAGGCAGCAGUAGGGAAUCUUCGGCAAUGGACGGAAGUCUGACCGAGCAACGCCGCGUGAGUGAAGAAGGUUGUCGGAUCGUAAAGCUCUGUUGUAAGAGAAGAACGAGUGUGAGAGUGGAAAGUUCACACUGUGACGGUAUCUUACCAGAAAGGGACGGCUAACUACGUG